rnacentral:lncRNA from 10 species
GCCACUCCUAGCUAUGUAACCAAAUGAAAAGUACACAUGUGCUCCGAGAGACACACACGGGAAUAUUCAGAACCUUUUCUGUAAUAGCUAUAAACUGAAAGCAGCACAUGUCCAACAGGAAAAUGAAUAAACAAAUACAGCAUAUUCAUACAAUAGAAUCCUAUACAGAGCAACUAAAAUAACAGCUAGAGGCAACAACACGGAUGGAUCUUACAAGCCUGAUGUGGAACAAGAGAAGCCUGUCCAGAGACUAAGUGAAUGGAUUUAUGUGGUAUGCAAAAACAGGCAAAACCAAAUCAUAGUGUUUUGGGAGGUAUGCUUACAUAGUAAAGCUCUGAAGGAAAACAAAGAAAAGGCGACUAAAGAGAAUGACAACUUACACAAUGCAGAAUCCUGGAUUGGAUCCUAGAUCCAAUCAACGUGUAGGGAUGCUGAUCCCACUCCAAGUCUAGAACAUCAUUCACAUCUUGGACAGCAAAUUUCACAUACUGAUGAAGGCGCCGAAUUUCCUAUAAGAAAAAAAUUAAAAGUGUAUCAUGCGUAUAAUCCCAGCACUUUGGGAGGCUGAAGCAGAAGAAUCACAUGAGCCCAGGUGUUUGAGACCAGCCUGAGCAACACAGCAUACCGGUAGUAGAGCCAUCACCACAUCUGGAGACGUUUCCAGGGUCCCAUCUGCAGCAGCAUACACUAUGGCGAAGACGUAGGUACCAAUCCACAGCACAUCCAGAACUGAAAGACACAUCUUAAUCAGUAGCUCAUAAAAAUGACAGCAACCAGAUACAAGAAAAAGCAGCUUAUGUUUGGAAUAGCCACUAUGGAUAAAAAA